CAGCCGCCGCGGUAAUACCGGCGGCCCGAGUGGCGGUCACUAUUAUUGGGCUUAAAGCGUCCGUAGCCGGGUUGGGAAGUCCUCCGGGAAAUCUGGCCGCUUAACGGUCAGAAUGCCGGAGGAUACUCCCAGCCUAGGGAGCGGGAGAGGCCGAGGGUAUUCCCGGAGUAGGGGGGAAAUCCUAUAAUCCCGGGAGGACCACCAGUGGCGAAGGCGCUCGGCUGGGACGCGUCCGACGGUGAGGGACGAAGGCCAGGGGAGCAAACCGGAUUAGAUACCCGGGUAGUCCUGGCUGUAAACGAUGCGGACUUUGUGUCGGACAAGCUAUGAGCUUGUCCGGUGCCGGAGGGAAACCGUUAAGUCCGCCGCCUGGGGAGUACGGCCGCAAGGCUGAAACUUAAAGGAAUUGGCGGG
rnacentral:rRNA from 1 species